rnacentral:rRNA from 1 species
GACGAACGCUGGCGGCGUGCCUAAUACAUGCAAGUUGAGCGCUGAAGGUUGGUACUUGUACCAACUGGAUGAGCAGCGAACGGGUGAGUAACGCGUGGGGAAUCUGCCUUUGAGCGGGGGACAACAUUUGGAAACGAAUGCUAAUACCGCAUAAAAACUUUAAACACAAGUUUUAAGUUUGAAAGAUGCAAUUGCAUCACUCAAAGAUGAUCCCGCGUUGUAUUAGCUAGUUGGUGAGGUAAAGGCUCACCAAGGCGAUGAUACAUAGCCGACCUGAGAGGGGGAUCGGCCACAUUGGGACUGAGACACGGCCCAAACUCCUACGGGAGGCAGCAGUAGGGAAUCUUCGGCAAUGGACGAAAGUCUGACCGAGCAACGCCGCGUGAGUGAAGAAGGUUUUCGGAUCGUAAAACUCUGUUGGUAGAGAAGAACGUUGGUGAGAGUGGAAAGCUCAUCAAGUGACGGUAACUAUCCAGAAAGGGACGGCUAACUACAUG